rnacentral:rRNA from 1 species
GCAGGUAAGGUGAUAUGAACCGUUAUAACCGGCGAUACCCGAAUGGGGAAACCCAGUGUGAUUCGUCACACUAUCAUUAACUGAAUCCAUAGGUUAAUGAGGCGAACCGGGGGAACUGAAACAUCUAAGUACCCCGAGGAAAAGAAAUCAACCGAGAUUCCCCCAGUAGCGGCGAGCGAACGGGGAGGAGCCCAGAGCCUGAAUCAGCAUGUGUGUUAGUGGAAGCGUCUGGAAAGGCGCGCGAUACAGGGUGACAGCCCCGUACACAAAAGCGCAUGUGCUGUGAGCUCGAUGAGUAGGGCGGGACACGUGGUAUCCUGUCUGAAUAUGGGGGGACCAUCCUCCAAGGCUAAAUACUCCUGACUGACCGAUAGUGAACCAGUACCGUGAGGGAAAGGCGAAAAGAACCCCGGCGAGGGGAGUGAAAAAGAACCUGAAACCGUGUACGUACAAGCAGUGGGAGCNNNNNNNNNNNNNNNNNNNGGGCGUUAAGUUGCAGGGUAUAGACCCGAAACCCGGUGAUCUAGCCAUGGGCAGGUUGAAGGUUGGGUAACACUAACUGGAGGACCGAACCGACUAAUGUUGAAAAAUUAGCGGAUGACCUGUGGCUGGGGGUGAAAGGCCAAUCAAACCGGGAGAUAGCUGGUUCUCCCCGAAAGCUAUUUAGGUAGCGCCUCGUGAAUUCAUCUCCGGGGGUAGAGCACUGUUUCGGCUAGGGGGCCAUCCCGGCUUACCAACCCGAUGCAAACUGCGAAUACCGGAGAAUGUUAUCACGGGAGACACACGGCGGGUGCUAACGUCCGUCGUGAAGAGGGAAACAACCCAGACCGCCAGCUAAGGUCCCAAAGUCAUGGUUAAGUGGGAAACGAUGUGGGAAGGCCCAGACAGCCAGGAUGUUGGCUUAGAAGCAGCCAUCAUUUAAAGAAAGCGUAAUAGCUCACUGGUCGAGUCGGCCUGCGCGGAAGAUGUAACGGGGCUAAACCAUGCACCGAAGCUGCGGCAGCGANNNNNNNNNNNNNNNNNNNNNNNNNUGCUGGAGGUAUCAGAAGUGCGAAUGCUGACAUAAGUAACGAUAAAGCGGGUGAAAAGCCCGCUCGCCGGAAGACCAAGGGUUCCUGUCCAACGUUAAUCGGGGCAGGGUGAGUCGACCCCUAAGGCGAGGCCGAAAGGCGUAGUCGAUGGGAAACGGGUUAAUAUUCCCGUACUUGGUGUUACUGCGAAGGGGGGACGGAGAAGGCUAUGUUGGCCGGGCGACGGUUGUCCCGGUUUAAGCGUGUAGGUGUGUGUUCCAGGUAAAUCCGGUUCACUUUAACACUGAGGCGUGACGACGAGGCACUACGGUGCUGAAGCAACAAAUGCCCUGCUUCCAGGAAAAGCCUCUAAGCAUCAGGUAACACGAAAUCGUACCCCAAACCGACACAGGUGGUCAGGUAGAGAAUACCAAGGCGCUUGAGAGAACUCGGGUGAAGGAACUAGGCAAAAUGGUGCCGUAACUUCGGGAGAAGGCACGCUGACACGUAGGUGAAGUGAUUUACUCAUGGAGCUGAAGUCAGUCGAAGAUACCAGCUGGCUGCAACUGUUUAUUAAAAACACAGCACUGUGCAAACACGAAAGUGGACGUAUACGGUGUGACGCCUGCCCGGUGCCGGAAGGUUAAUUGAUGGGGUCAGCGCAAGCGAAGCUCCUGAUCGAAGCCCCGGUAAACGGCGGCCGUAACUAUAACGGUCCUAAGGUAGCGAAAUUCCUUGUCGGGUAAGUUCCGACCUGCACGAAUGGCGUAAUGAUGGCCAGGCUGUCUCCACCCGAGACUCAGUGAAAUUGAACUCGCUGUGAAGAUGCAGUGUACCCGCGGCAAGACGGAAAGACCCCGUGAACCUUUACUAUAGCUUGACACUGAACAUUGAGCCUUGAUGUGUAGGAUAGGUGGGAGGCUUUGAAGUGUGGACGCCAGUCUGCAUGGAGCCGACCUUGAAAUACCACCCUUUAAUGUUUGAUGUUCUAACGUGGACCCGUAAUCCGGGUUGCGGACAGUGUCUGGUGGGUAGUUUGACUGGGGCGGUCUCCUCCUAAAGAGUAACGGAGGAGCACGAAGGUUGGCUAAUCCUGGUCGGACAUCAGGAGGUUAGUGCAAUGGCAUAAGCCAGCUUGACUGCGAGCGUGACGGCGCGAGCAGGUGCGAAAGCAGGUCAUAGUGAUCCGGUGGUUCUGAAUGGAAGGGCCAUCGCUCAACGGAUAAAAGGUACUCCGGGGAUAACAGGCUGAUACCGCCCAAGAGUUCAUAUCGACGGCGGUGUUUGGCACCUCGAUGUCGGCUCAUCACAUCCUGGGGCUGAAGUAGGUCCCAAGGGUAUGGCUGUUCGCCAUUUAAAGUGGUACGCGAGCUGGGUUUAGAACGUCGUGAGACAGUUCGGUCCCUAUCUGCCGUGGGCGCUGGAGAACUGAGGGGGGCUGCUCCUAGUACGAGAGGACCGGAGUGGACGCAUCACUGGUGUUCGGGUUGUCAUGCCAAUGGCACUGCCCGGUAGCUAAAUGCGGAAGAGAUAAGUGCUGAAAGCAUCUAAGCACGAAACUUGCCCCGAGAUGAGUUCUCCCUGAGACUU